rnacentral:rRNA from 1 species
GACGAACGCUGGCGGCGUGCUUAACACAUGCAAGUCGUACGAGGAUCCCUUUCGGGGGUGAUGAGUGGCGAACGGGUGAGUAACACGUGGGUAAUCUGCCCUGUACUUUGGGAUAAGCCUUGGAAACGGGGUCUAAUACCGGAUAUGACUGCUCCUCGCAUGGGGGGUGGGUGGAAAGACUCCCGGCGGGUACGGGGAGUGAGGCCCGCCGGCCUAUNAGCGUUGUUUGGGUGGGGGUGGAUGGCCUACCAAGGCGGACGACGGGUA